GCGCGAUUAGCUCAGCGGGAGAGCGCUUCCCUGACACGGAAGAGGUCACAGGUUCAAUCCCUGUAUCGCGCACCA
rnacentral:tRNA from 10 species